UGAGGAAUAUUGGUCAAUGGUCGAGAGACUGAACCAGCCAUGCCGCGUGCAGGAAAACAGCCCUAUGGGUUUUAAACUGCUUUUGUACGAGGGUAAAAAGCGGCACGCGUGCCGCAUUGAAAGUAUUGUACGAAUAAGGAUCGGCUAACUCCGUGCCAGCAGCCGCGGUAAUACGGAGGAUUCGAGCGUUAUCCGGAUUCAUUGGGUUUAAAGGGUGCGUAGGUUGUAUAUUAAGUCAGCGGUGAAAAGGAGAUGCUUAACAUUUCCCGUGCCGUUGAAACUGAUAAACUUGAAUGCUGAUGAAGUAUGUGGAAUGCGCAGUGUAGCGGUGAAAUGCAUAGAUAUUGCGCAGAAGGUCGAUUGCGAAGGCAACGUACUAAUCAGCUAUUGACACUGAGGCACGAAAGCGUGGGGAUCAAACAGGAUUAGAUACCCUGGUAGUCCACGCUGUAAACGAUGAUAACUCGCUGUCGGCGAUAAACAGUCGGUGGCCAAGCG
rnacentral:rRNA from 1 species